UAAGGAAUAUUGGUCAAUGGACGCAAGUCUGAACCAGCCAUGCCGCGUGAAGGAUGAAAGCCCUCUGGGUUGUAAACUUCUUUUAUCUGGGAAGAAACCACUUUUUUCUAAGAGUGUUGACGGUACCAGAGGAAUAAGCACCGGCUAACUCCGUGCCAGCAGCCGCGGUAAUACGGAGGGUGCAAGCGUUAUCCGGAUUCACUGGGUUUAAAGGGUGCGUAGGCGGAUUCUUAAGUCAGUGGUGAAAUCUCUUGGCUUAACCCAGAAAUUGCC
rnacentral:rRNA from 1 species